GGGGUGUGAGAUAGACUUACCUCCACGUGGUGCACCCUAGGCAACGUGUGCUUAUACGGCAAAAAAGUCUAC
rfam:Hymenolepis nana genome assembly, scaffold: HNAJ_contig0000339